UACAGAGGUCUCAAGCGUUGUUCGGAUUCAUUGGGCGUAAAGGGUGCGUAGGUGGCAUGGUAAGUCGGAUGUGAAAUCCCGGGGCUCAACCCCGGAACUGCAUUCGAUACUGCUGCGCUAGAGUACUGGAGAGGAGAUUGGAAUUUACGGUGUAGCAGUGAAAUGCGCAGAUAUCAGGAGGAACACCGAUGGCGAAGGCAGGUCUCUGGGCAUUAACUGACGCUGAGGAGCGAAAGCAUGGGGAGCGAACAGG
rnacentral:rRNA from 1 species